UGCCCACUUUGGCGGGACAUAUACUGAAAUUGGAAUGAUACAGAAAUUAGCAUGGUUCUUGGGCAAGGAUGUCAGGCAUAUUCAUAAAGCACUCUUUCCAAUAAUUU
ensembl:snRNA U6 U6 spliceosomal RNA